CAGGAGUUUCCACUUCCAUACUGGCCAUUAUGAUUCAGGACUUAACGAGACGUAUGGAAUGGCGCGGUCUGCUUUGUCGCCCACUUUUAUGUCACCAGAAGUACAUCUCGAACCUUGGACUUGAGAUCAAAGAAUCCACCAGCUGUGAUGUGUCCGAUACUGCCCUGGAGGACUACCCAUCUGAUGCAACUGGUAGAGUCAGAUCACAGAUGCUGCCUACCUGACCAGCAGAAUCUCUACUGAGAAAAAAAGGCAAGAAACCUUUCCUCUAAGGGUAAUAUUGUGGCAUUAUUCAUAAUUCCAUGGGGCUCCAGCCACAGUGGAAAGUGAUGUGGUCCACAUUUGAUCUGUGCCAGACGAUUCAUCGCGACACCCUAAGCCAGUGCUUCAGCUCGGCACUCCACUGAAAGAAAUCUCUGAUGACAUGUUAUUGCCAAUGGUACUGAGAGUUCCAUAUGCACACUGACUCAGGAAGAAACCAUCAUGUGUGUCAUGUCUUCAGGCUGUACCAUGGCUCUACUGCCUCUCUUCACCAUCCUUUCUUUCUUUCGGAAUUUGCUUUUGGGAUAAUUAUGUUAUAGGUUGACUGAAAAUGUGUAAUGGAAUUUUCUUUAGUGUAAAAUGCUAAGUGCUUGUUUGUUUGGGUAACUACCCUUAAUGAAUAUAACGGGGCCUUCUGUGCCUUCUUGGUGAUUUGCCUCUGUGUUCCUGGGAAUAACACUGAUGUUCAGAUGAUAUUCUCGAACUACACAAUAAACCAGCUGCAUUGCACUAACCACAGUCUAUAAAAAAUAAAGUGGCAAUUAUUUAUUCAGGCCGGUGUGAUACCCUACACAGCUAGUAAGUAUGAUGGCACUAAUGAGUAUAAUUUAGAAAGGUGACAAACUUCUGGGAAUCUUAUUUCAAAUCACCUGUCAAGUUAUCACCAUGUCUGGCACAAUCAUUACAAUGGGUCAAAUUUUCCCCUCUCUCUUUGCAGACUGGCUGGCUGGCUGGCUGGCUUAAUGCCAAUAAUAAGUUUAUGGAAGGGUAUAUUCUAUGCAUUACAAAAUUAUUUGAAACAGCACCCAGAAAACAUGCACCGUCUUCACAAUUAAAGAAAACUGAGAAAAGAUGCUCCUGUUGUAUCACAAAAAUGUAAAA